AGAAUCCCCGACGGCAGCGGGUACCGGCCUAAGCCUGGCCGGUCCACCCGGGGGAACACCGGUGAAAGUCCGGGGCUGUGCCGCAACUGUGACGCCGCGCCUCGCCGCGGCGAAGCCAGAUUACCCGCCGCUGCCGUGUCCGAACC
rfam:Sphaerobacter thermophilus DSM 20745 chromosome 1, complete sequence.